rnacentral:lncRNA from 1 species
UCGUUGACCUUAAAAACCUAAUAAGUAUAUAUAAUUUUGACAUCAUCCUUAUCAAUGGUCAUGUUAGCCAUUGCCACACUAGCACCUCUCCGUACUUGCAUUUAAAACACUAACUCAUCUCUUUCUUUCAAAUAUUACUAAAGUAUAUUCCUCAAAGAUUUAAUUUGCAAUUUUAACAAAAUUUCAAACAUCAUCGUAAAUUUUAUAGAAAGAAUAUGAAGAAACAACACACAAACACGUGCAAAAAACAAUU